CAGAGUGUGCUCUUCCAAUCAGAGGAUUCAGCAGUGGGCAGGAUUAAGAGUGUCCUGGAUAUUUUGACCUUGAUCAGAUCUUACCCUGGGAGAUGGGAGGAAAAGCAACCCUAAAAUAUCAUAGUACCACAACUUGCUACUUGGGGGUGCUGGAGUUAGGAGGCAUUGAUGGCUUUCAUGCCCAUCGAAGCUUCAAAUUUCUAAAAUAAUUAGUAAACGUGAUCAUCUCGAAGAGAGGAAGGGAGGAGAUGGAGAGAAUUAGAAGCAGAUCUGAACAGUCUCUAAGGGAAAAUGGAGAGCUGACCAAUUGCAAGGGAAAGUGCUGCUGAUCAAUGCUGAGGGCCCAACUGAGAUUAGAAACCGUUCAUUUAUGGAUUCAUAUUUUUCAGGGGUACUCAUCCAUUGGAUGUAGGAACUUACAUGUGGCUAUUUGGUGGUGGGGGGAAGUACAAACAAUAAAAAUGACUUGAAGGUACUAAUGGAGCUCAGUUGAUUUACCCUGUGAUUCACACUCUGUACAAAAUGAAAUGAUGUCCAAAGCUCUGACAAACUAGGAAAUUCGGAGGAACACCGAGAUUGGAAUUAUGAAUUUUCAAAGCUAUAUGCAGGUAUAGAAGAAAAGAAUGUAUGCUGCAUAUUGUCUGGAAGAAAAAUUUUACUCAGAUAUAUAGAUUUUUGAGAUAACACAUUUGUUGUAGUCAAUAAUAAGCUAUAGAAAUCAAUAGAGCCAGCUGGAUGUGAAAAGAAAGGAAAAGGGGAAAUUAAUUAUUCAACAAAUAUUUAUUGAGCAACCUCUGUGAAUCAGGCAUUAUUCUAGCUGCUGGAGAUACAAAAAUUGACCAGACAAAAUGGUUGCUCUUAAUUAGAUCAGUCUUCUGGAAUGAUGGAUGUUUCCAGCUUAGCAAAUGAGAGAGCGAGAGUAUUAAAAGACAGUAUCAAAAAUUAUAGAACUCAUUUAGUUUGAGUAUUUGAUAUAAAAGACCAAGUAGCGAUAAAAUCAGACAAGCCAGAGAGAUGGAUUAGAUUUGUGAAGAGAAGUUAGUGUUGACUAGGAAAGACCUAGAGGAGUAUACAAGAUUGCCCUAGAGAGAAUGCAGAGAGGAUUCCUGAAUUCCAAGAUGGAGGGGUAGGUGGAGGAAGAAAGGAGCCAUUGAAAGAAAACUGAGAUGAGACCAAUUUGUUUCUGAGAAAAAUGAAGAAGAGGGUUCCAGAAGAAAAAUAGUCCAUGUAGUCCAAUAAGUCAGAAAUCCUGACAAGAAAGACCAAAUUGCUUGAAUAGAUUUGGCAAAUAGAAAAGCAUUGAUCGUCUUAGCAGGAGCAAUUUCAAGAAGUUAGAGCGGCAUACAUUUCUCCGGGGGGAGGAAUACAUGAAAGACUUGGAAAUUGUGUAUUACCCAUGAUGACCAGCAACUCUCAGGGCUGUCUAAUGAUUACCAAAUAUAGGCUGUAGCAUUGGUCUUUUAAGUAAACAGGAAGACAGGUACACUUGUUAGAUAAAGUUACAGUAAGAAAUGUAAGGUAUACAAAGGAUGUACAAAAAUUAACCUAAAAGUAGACAGAAGAAACUAGAACACACUAAGAGUAGAAUCUGUGGAGGGAGGGGGCAUGGGGUGGUAGUGGUAAGGGCUGUGUUAUUUGUAGCAAUUACCAUGCCUUAAAAAAAAAAAAGAAAUUGGUUUCCUGUGAGGUAAUUUAAAAACCCUCAAUAGUUAAAGCUAAAGCCUGUUCUUCACAAACCUCAGAUGAUACAUGUGUCCCACAAAGAGGAAAAUUAUAUGAUUUUUGAAAGUAAAGUAAUAGAGUAUUUUGACAUGGACAAGUAAUUCCCCAUAUUCUUGCCUUCAGAUUUUAAAGAUGAUAUGAAAUGUAAACAUCUUUUAAAUUUAACGGAUGACUUGACUUCAGGAAGAAAGAACACCUUCUAGGGCUUGGGGAAGUUAACAUAUGUUUAAGAGUUCCAUUGCGUUUUCAACAUAAUUAGCCAUCUAACUACGUAUCCAAAUGAAGCUAAUGAAUUUCCACGUACAGUUAACUAUG